rnacentral:rRNA from 1 species
AACGAACGCUGGCGGCAGGCCUAACACAUGCAAGUCGAACGCCCUAGCAAUAGGGAGUGGCAGACGGGUGAGUAACACGUGGGAACCUUCCCUAUAGUACGGAAUAUACCAGGGAAACUUGGAGCAAUACCGUAUACGCCCGAGAGGGGAAAGAUUUAUCGCUAUAGGAUGGGCCCGCGUAGGAUUAGCUAGUUGGUGAGGUAAUGGCUCACCAAGGCGACGAUCCUUAGCUGGUUUGAGAGAACGACCGGCCACACUGGGACUGAGACACGGCCCAGACUCCUACGGGAGGCAGCAGUGGGGAAUAUUGGACAAUGGGCGCAAGCCUGAUCCAGCCAUGCCGCGUGAGUGAUGAAGGCCUUAGGGUUGUAAAGCUCUUUUGGCGGGACGAUAAUGACGGUACCCGCAGAAUAAGUCCCGGCUAACUUCGUGCCAGCCGCCGCAGUAAU